CCAUCAUCUUCCUGCUGAACCACAUCUACACCCACCUGGACAAGCCGGCAAGCACGGCACUGAAGGCCGCUGUGGCCCCGCUGGAACAGGAGGUUGCCACGGCCUAGCAGGAGCAGAAGACUGCCGCAGCUCAGGAGGAACAGGUGUCGGCCGGGCUGCCGAAGGUUGAAAAAGGUGGCAGCUCUGGUGGCAGCUCUAUGGCGCUGGGCAGCUGAGACGACCACUUCUCCUUCUGUAUCCUCCACGGGACCCCGUGAAAAUAGCCAGUCGAGUACUCUCAAACAGUGAUAGCCGAAAGUCAGGGUGGCUCCUUGAACAGUUCAUUGCAGGCUCAAAGGAUUCGAGGCAGGUGGCGGGCUAGGCGGCUCUGGACAGGAAGACUGCAGGCUUCUGAACUCAAGCCUAAUUGACUGGGGUGCUGGCGGGUGCCUAGCAUGCUGGAAGCUAGCUGGCUCAGGAACUGAUGCUUCCAAGUGGCUGGCAGACUCCAAGCUAAUCCCAGCAUCUGAGUCACUGGGAGAAUCCAGGUAGGGUUGUAGGCUUUUCCUGAGGUUGGUAAUUACAGCUAAAUUCUCAGCCAUGACCAGCAUGUCCAAAAGCCUAGCCUUGACAAAACUGCUCUCUCCAUUAAAUCAUACACAGUCUGUGCUUAAUGUCACUGGAGCCCUCAAUGGCCUCUCAUGAAAAGAGCUCACCUCUUUAAGCUCCUCCAAGAGAGAUUUGAUGUCUGCUGGGUCCAUGUUUGGUCAGGUCUUACUGUUACAGUUCUGUUCAAAAGUGGACCCAGCAGACAAAAUACAUGGGAACUGGUAAAAUAUACAAAAGAUGACUUCAUCAGUUACUUCAGGAGGCAACACAAAACAACUAAGGGCCGAGGUUCAAAUGGGAAGGCACGAACACAAGGAACAAAUGCAGGACUGGGACACAAAUGCAGAUGACACCUGACAGAAGAAAGACACAUAGACUAAAGACACAAGAGGCCAAUUAACUAAUGUGACACAGGAAGUAAAGUACAAAACACACGGGGAGAGUAUUAAAAAUAAAACAGGAAUUACCUAAACACAAAC